GAUGAACGCUAGCUACAGGCUUAACACAUGCAAGUCGAGGGGUAACGAGAGGAAAGCUUGCUUUCCUUGUCGACGACCGGCGCACGGGUGAGUAACGCGUAUCCAACCUGCCCCCAACUAGGGAAUAACCUUGCGAAAGUAAGACUAAUACCCUAUAAUUUCCUCAGAUGUCAUCUGACGAGGAAUAGAGAUUUAUCGGUUGUGGAUGGGGAUGCGUCUGAUUAGCUUGUUGGCGGGGUAACGGCCCACCAAGGCAACGAUCAGUAGGGGUUCUGAGAGGAAGGUCCCCCACAUUGGAGCUGAGACACGGUCCAAACUCCUACGGGAGGCAGCAGUGAGGAAUAUUGGUCAAUAGGCGGAAGCCUGAACCAGCCAAGUAGCGUGCAGGAUGACGGCCCUAUGGGUUGUAAACUGCUUUUAUACAGGAAUAAAGUUAGCCACGUGUGGUUAUUUGUAGGUACUGUAUGAAUAAGGGCCGGCUAAUUCCGUGCCAGCAGCCGCCGCCG
rnacentral:rRNA from 1 species